rnacentral:rRNA from 1 species
GACGGAGGAUGCAAGUGUUAUCCGGAAUCACUGGGCGUAAAGCGUCUGUAGGUGGUCAAAUAAGUCAACUGUUAAAUCUUGAGGCUCAACCUCAAAAUCGCAGUCGAAACUAUUAGACUAGAGUAUAGUAGGGGUAAAGGGAAUUUCCAGUGGAGCGGUGAAAUGCGUAGAGAUUGGAAAGAACACCGAUGGCGAAGGCACUUUACUGGGCUAUUACUAACACUCAGAGA